AACCCUUGAAAAGCGGCCAGUUCACAUCAUUCGUAAUGAUGGGGUCGCGUGUUCGAGUCACGCAAGCGGCACCA
rnacentral:tRNA from 3 species